GAUGAACGCUGGCGGCGUGCCUAAUACAUGCAAGUCGAGCGAAUGGAUUAAGAGCUUGCUCUUAUGAAGUUAGCGGCGGACGGGUGAGUAACACGUGAGUAACCUGCCCAUAAGACUGGGAUAACUCCGGGAAACCGGGGCUAAUACCGGAUAACAUUUUGAACCGAAUGGUUCGAAAUUGAAAGGCGGCUUCGGCUGUCACUUAUGGAUGGACCCGCGUCGCAUUAGCUAGUUGGUGAGGUAACGGCUCACCAAGGCAACGAUGCGUAGCCGACCUGAGAGAGUGAUCGGCCACACUGGGACUGAGACACGGCCCAGACUCCUACGGGAGGCAGCAGUAGGGAAUCUUCCGCAAUGGACGAAAGUCUGACGGAGCAACGCCGCGUGAGUGAUGAAGGCUUUCGGGUCGUAAAACUCUGUUGUUAGGGAAGAACAAGUGCUAGUUGAAUAAGCUGGCACCUUGACGGUACCUAACCAGAAAGCCACGGCUAACUACGUGCCAGCCGCCGCAGUAA
rnacentral:rRNA from 1 species